rnacentral:misc_RNA from 1 species
AACCAUUCUCACCUGCGGCUAGACCUGCGGAGGGAUCAUUACCGAGUUAUACAACUCAUCAACCCCUGUGAACUUACCUACAACGUUGCUUCGGCGGGAACAGACGGCCCCGUAAAACGGGCCGCCCCCGCCAGAGGACCCCUAACUCUGUUUUUAUAAUGUUUUUCUGAGUAAACAAGCAAAUAAAUUAAAACUUUUAACAACGGAUCU